rnacentral:tRNA from 1 species
GGCGCCGUGGCUUAGAUGGCAAAGCGCCUGUCUUGUAAACAGGAGAUCCUGGGUUCAAAUCCCAGCGGUGCCA